rnacentral:rRNA from 1 species
UACGGAGGAUCCGAGCGCUAUCCGGAUUUAUUGGGUUUAAAGGGUGCGCAGGCGGAAGAUUAAGUCGGUGGUGAAAUUUUGCAGCUCAACUGUAAAAGUGCCAUUGAUACUGGUUUUCUUGAGUGUGGAUGAAGUAGGCGGAAUUUGUGGUGUAGCGGUGAAAUGCAUAGAUAUCACGAGAAACUCCGAUUGCGCAGGCAGCUUACUAAACCAUAACUGACGCUCAGGCACGAAGGCGUGGGGAUCAAACAGGAUUAGA